rnacentral:rRNA from 1 species
GACGAACGCUGGCGGCGUGCUUAACACAUGCAAGUCGAACGGAAAGGCCCUGCUUUUGUGGGGUGCUCGAGUGGCGAACGGGUGAGUAACACGCGAGUAACCUGCCCUUGACUUUGGGAUAACUUCAGGAAACUGGGGCUAAUACCGGAUAGGAGCUCCUGCUGCAUGGUGGGGGUUGGAAAGUUUCGGCGGUUGGGGAUGGACUCGCGGCUUAUCAGCUUGUUGGGGGGGUAGUGGCUUACCAAGGCUUUGACGGGUAGCCGGCCUGAGAGGGUGACCGGCCACAUUGGGACUGAGAUACGGACCAGACUCGUACGGGAGGCAGCAGUGGGGAAUAUUGCACAAUGGGCGGAAGCCUGAUGCAGCAACGCCGCGUGCGGGAUGACGGCCUUCGGGUUGUAAACCGCUUUCGCCUGUGACGAAGCGUGAGUGACGGUAAUGGGUAAAGAAGCACCGGCUAACUACGUG